ACAUGCAAGUCGAGCGAUGAAGCUUCCUUCGGGAAGUGGAUUAGCGGCGGACGGGUGAGUAACACGUGGGUAACCUGCCUCAAAGUGGGGGAUAGCCUUCCGAAAGGAAGAUUAAUACCGCAUAAUAUAAGAGAAUCGCAUGAUUUUCUUAUCAAAGAUUUAUUGCUUUGAGAUGGACCCGCGGCGCAUUAGCUAGUUGGUAAGGUAAUGGCUUACCAAGGCAACGAUGCGUAGCCGACCUGAGAGGGUGAUCGGCCACAUUGGAACUGAGACACGGUCCAGACUCCUACGGGAGGCAGCAGUGGGGAAUAUUGCGCAAUGGGGGAAACCCUGACGCAGCAACGCCGCGUGGGUGAUGAAGGUCUUCGGAUUGUAAAGCCCUGUUUUCUGGGACGAUAAUGACGGUACCAGAGGAGGAAGCCACGGCUAACUACGUGCCAGCAGCCGCGGUAAUACGUAGGUGGCGAGCGUUGUCCGGAUUUACUGGGCGUAAAGGGUGCGUAGGCGGAUAUUUAAGUGGGAUGUGAAAUCCCCGGGCUUAACCUGGGGGCUGCAUUCCAAACUGGAUAUCUAGAGUGCAGGAGAGGAAAGCGGAAUUCCUAGUGUAGCGGUGAAAUGCGUAGAGAUUAGGAAGAACACCAGUGGCGAAGGCGGCUUUCUGGACUGUAACUGACGCUGAGGCACGAAAGCG
rnacentral:rRNA from 1 species